rnacentral:rRNA from 1 species
UGGGCUUGACAUCCCACGAACCUGCCUGAAAGGGCGGGGUGCCCGCAAGGGAGCGUGGAGACAGGUGGUGCAUGGCUGUCGUCAGCUCGUGUCGUGAGAUGUUGGGUUAAGUCCCGCAACGAGCGCAACCCUCACCCCUAGUUGCCACCGGGUAAUGCCGAGCACUCGAGGGGAACUGCCAGCGUCAAGCUGGAGGAAGGCGGGGAUGACGUCAAGUCAUCAUGCCCCUUACGCCCUGGGCUACACACGUGCUACAAUGGCCAGUACAAAGGGAUGCGAGACCGUAAGGUGGAGCUAAUCCCAAAAAGCUGGUCUAAGUUCAGAUUGCAGUCUGCAACUCGACUGCAUGAAGGAGGAAUCGCUAGUAAUCGCGCAUCAGCACGGCGCGGUGAAUACGUUCCCGGGCCUUGUACACACCGCCCGUCACACCACGAAAGUUGGCUGUACUCGAAGUCGCUGAG